GAAGCAACAGGGAUUACCUCAGUAACGGCGAGUGAAGCGGCAACAGCUCAAUUUGAAAUCUGGCUCUUUUAGAGUCCGAGUUGUAAUUUGCAGAGGGCGCUUUGGCGUUGGCAGCGGUCCAAGUUCCUUGGAACAGGACGUCACAGAGGGUGAGAAUCCCGUACGUGGUCGCUAGCCAUCGCCGUGUAAAGCCCCUUCGACGAGUCGAGUUGUUUGGGAAUGCAGCUCUAAAUGGGAGGUAAAUUUCUUCUAAAGCUAAAUACUGGCCAGAGACCGAUAGCGCACAAGUAGAGUGAUCGAAAGAUGAAAAGCACUUUGGAAAGAGAGUCAAAUAGCACGUGAAAUUGUUGAAAGGGAAGCGCUUGCAGCCAGACUUGCCUGUAGUUGCUCAUCCGGGCUUUUGCCCGGUGCACUCUUCUGCGGGCAGGCCAGCAUCAGUUUGGGCGGUUGGAUAAAGGUCUCUGUCAUGUACCUCUCUUCGGGGAGAACUUAUAGGGGAGACGACUACGACCAGCCUGGACUGAGGUCCGCGCAUUUGCUAGGAUGCUGGCGUAAUGGCUGUAAGCGGCCCGUCUUGAAACACGGACCAAGGAGUCUAACACCUAUGCGAGUGUUUGGGUGUCAAGCCCGAGCGCGUAAUGAAAGUGAACGGAGGUGGGACCCCUUUAAGGGUGCACCAUCGACCGAUCCUGAUGUCUUCGGAUGGAUUUGAGUAAGAGCAUGGUUGUUGGGACCCGAAAGAUGGUGAACUAUGCUUGAAUAGGGUGAAGCCAGAGGAAACUCUGGUGGAGGCUCCGCAGCGGUUCUGACGUGCAAAU
rnacentral:rRNA from 1 species